rnacentral:lncRNA from 1 species
CCCAGAGAUCCUGGAUUCAGAACUGGACGCACUUAUGGAUAGGACUUGCAAUGGACUCCUUUGGGGAAAUCUAUGUGCACACGAGGGUGUUGGCAGAGACUGUGGCAGAGGCUUUUUGGAGUAAUUCAAGAUCGUUUCUGCCAGUGCCCAGGCAAUUAACUCUGUGGCUGCAGUUCACCUGCUAACUUGAUAUCCCAUCAUAUUAUUAGAUGCUGAAACUUGAAUUUCAUCUAGCCCAGAAGUCUUUGAACUCAGUGAGGUAUCCCAGAGUCCUAGAACAGUGCCUGCCAUCUUACUACUCAGAUAUUUGUAAAUGAGGGAAAGAAGAAACAAAAAACAAAAGAGGAAACAGAAGGAGAAAUGGCUGAACAAGUAAAUUUUUACUUAAGGUUUAACUGCUGGAACUGGAAUGAAAAUUCACCAGAUCACAAUGAACAUAGGAUUGGG